rnacentral:rRNA from 1 species
CACCUUGCGGUUGGCGGCAGUACGGGUUUUGGGCCCAAAUCCCCUUGGAGGGAGGAGGAAGGGUUUCAAACUAAUCCGGUUUGGGAUUUACCGUACUCGACGAAGCAGCAUCUGUUAAAUCCUUGGCAGCAGCCGCGCUAAUACGGAUGCUGCCAGUUUUUAUCGGAAUUACGCGCGUAAAGCGCCCGUAGCUGGUUGCGUAACCGAGAUGUGAAAGCCCCGGGUUUCACCGGGGAACGCCAUUUCGAACUGCUAAGCUAGAGUGUGGUAGAGUGUAGUGGAAUUUUCUGUGUAGCGGUGAAAUGCGUAGAUAUUGGAAGGAACACCAGUGGCGAAGGCGGCUACCUGGACCAACACUGACAUUGAGGUGCGAAAGCGUGGGGAGCAAACAGGAUUAGAUACCCUGGUAGUCCACGCCGUAAACGAUGUCAACUAGCCGUUGGGGAUCUUGAAUCCUUAGUGGCGCAGCUAACGCACUAAGUUGACCGCCUGGGGAGUACGGCCGCAAGGUUAAAACUCAAAUGAAUUGACGGGGGCCCGCACAAGCGGUGGAGCAUGUGGUUUAAUUUGACGCAACGCGAAGAACCUUACCUGGCCUUGACAUGCAGAGAACUUUCCAGAGAUGGAUUGGUGCCUUCGGGAACUCUGACACAGGUGCUGCAUGGCCGUCGUCAGCUCGUGUCCUGAGAUGUUGGGUUAAGUCCCGUAACGAGCGCAACCCCUAUCCUUGGUUGCUAGCAGGUAAUGCUGAGAACUCCAGGGAGACUGCCGGUGACAAACCGGAGGAAGGUGGGGAUGACGUCAGGUCAUCAUGGCCCUUACGGCCAGGGCUACACACGUGCUACAAUGGCGUAUACAGAGGGCUGCCAACUCGCGAGAGUGAGCCAAUCCCUUAAAGUGCGUCGUAGUCCGGAUCGCAGUCUGCAACUCGACUGCGUGAAGUCGGAAUCGCUAGUAAUCGCGAAUCAGAAUGUCGCGGUGAAUACGUUCCCGGGCCUUGUACACACCGCCCGUCACACCAUGGGAGUGGAUUGCACCAGAAUGUGGUUAGUCUAACCUUCGGGAGGACGAUCCACCCACGGGGUCAACGCGGU